rnacentral:rRNA from 1 species
CACGUAGGGGGCAAGCGUUGUCCGGAUUCAUUGGGCGUAAAGAGCUCGUAGGCGGCUUGGCAAGUCGGAUGUGAAAACUCCAGGCUCAACCUGGAGCCGCCAUUCGAUACUGCUAUGGCUAGAGUCCGGUAGGGGAGUGUGGAAUUCCCGGUGUAGCGGUGAAAUGCGCAGAUAUCGGGAGGAACACCGAUGGCGAAGGCAGCACUCUGGGCCGGUACUGACGCUGAGGAGCGAAAGCGUGGGGAGCGAACAGG